rnacentral:rRNA from 1 species
UACAGAGGGUGCAAGCGUUAAUCGGAUUUACUGGGCGUAAAGCGUGUGUAGGUGGCUACCUAAGUCGGUUGUGAAAGCCCUGGGCUCAACCUGGGAAUUGCAGUCGAUACUGGGAAGCUAGAGUUCGGUAGAGGGUGACGGAAUUCCCGGUGUAGCGGUGAAAUGCGUAGAUAUCGGGAGGAACAUCGAUGGCGAAGGCAAUCACCUGGGCCUGAACUGACACUGUGACACGAAAGCGUGGGUAGCAAACAGGAUUAGAAACCCCAGUAGUCC